UACGGAGGGUGCGAGCGUUAAUCGGAAUCACUGGGCGUAAAGCGCACGUAGGCGGCUUGGUAAGUCAGAUGUGAAAGCCCCGGGCUCAACCUUGGAAUUGCAUUUGAUACUGCUUGGCUCGAGUCUGAUAGAGGGGGGUGGAAUUCCAGGUGUAGCGGUGAAAUGCGUAGAUAUCGGGAGGAACAACAGUGGCGAAGGCGGCCCUCUGGAUCAGUACUGACGCUGAGGCGCGAAAGCUAGGGGAGCAAACGGG
rnacentral:rRNA from 1 species